GUAGAGGCGUUGAAGGAGAAGAGUAAGAGGAUUACAGUCACUCAGCGAGCCUGGUCAGGUGUGAGCAGGCGUGCCUAGCCCUCUGAAAAUCGCUCCUGAGCUACCAACCCAAUCCCCGAUGUAAUCGAGGUAGUAGGCUUGGUCGGAGCCGUCAGCCGUUAGUCAUGACGAGGGCAUUCUUACGUGCUCUUAAGAGUGUUCCCGAUCCUGUAUCGAGUACGGGACAAGUUUAUCGGGAGAAUUAGGGUGGUACCGCGGGUUAUUGAGUCCCGUCCCUUUA
rnacentral:ncRNA from 1 species